GCACCCUUAGCUCAGUUGGAUAGAGUACUUGACUACGAAUCAAGGGGUCGUGAGUUCGAAUCUCGCAGGGUGCA
rnacentral:tRNA from 1 species